UACGUAGGGUGCGAGCGUUAAUCGGAAUUACUGGGCGUAAAGCGUGCGCAGGCGGUUCGUUGUGUCGGCGGUGAAAGCCCCGGGCUCAACCUGGGAAUGGCCGUUGAAACUGGCGAACUGGAGUGUGGCAGAGGGGGGUGGAAUUCCGCGUGUAGCAGUGAAAUGCGUAGAGACGCGGAGGAACACCGAUGGCGAAGGCAGCCCCCUGGGCUGACACUGACGCUCAGGCACGAAAGCGUGGGGAGCAAACAGG
rnacentral:rRNA from 1 species